UACGGGGGGGGCAAGCGUUGUUCGGAAUUACUGGGCGUAAAGGGCUCGUAGGCGGCCAACUAAGUCGGACGUGAAAUCCCCAGGCUCAACCUGGGAACUGCGUCCGAUACUGGAUGGCUUGAAUCCGGGAGAGGGAUGCAGAAUUCCAGGUGUAGCGGUGAAAUGCGUAGAUAUCGGGAGGAACACCAGUGGCGAAGGCGGUUGCCUGGGGCUUUGCUGACGCUGAGACACGAAAGCCAGGGGAGCGAACGGG
rnacentral:rRNA from 1 species